rnacentral:snRNA from 1 species
GGACCUGCGGUGAUCUGGCUGUGACCUCUGCCACCCCACUGAUCACCAGGGUUGACUCAGCUGAUCGGGCUGGUCAGGUGGAGGUGCUCUUCUGCUCUCACCACUCCAUGUGCAUCCCUCUUGAAGCUGUGCCCUCAGUCAAGAGGACAACCACCCCCCCAUAGAGGAGGACCAUCUGCUGUGUUAAGGGUUUAUGAGUACCUUUGCUCCCUUGAUAGAACCUUUAAACAAGCUCUCAAGACAGUGCCUUAACUUGAGAGUCAUUUGGCACAUUUUAUAAAAUUUUAUUUAAAUUUCAGGCAAUAAAAUAAAAAUUUCUUAAAUUAGUCCCAGAGAUAGGAUUU